rnacentral:rRNA from 1 species
UUGGAGGGCAAGUCUGGUGCCAGCAGCCGCGGUAAUUCCAGCUCCAAUAGCGUAUAUUAAAGUUGUUGCAGUUAAAAAGCUCGUAGUUGAAUUUCGGGGUUAGUAGGUUGGUCAUGCCUCUGGUAUGUACUGGUCUCACUGACUCCUCCUUCCUGAUGAGCCGUAAUGCCAUUAAUUUGGUGUUGCGGGGAAUUUGGACUGUUACUUUGAAAAAAUUAGAGUGUUUAAAGCAAGCUAACGCUUGAAUACAUUAGCAUGGAAUAAUGAAAUAGGACGUUCGAUCCUAUUUUGUUGGUUUCUAGGAUUGACGUAAUGAUUAAUAGGGAUAGUUGGGGGCAUUAGUAUUCAAUUGUCAGAGGUGAAAUUCUUGGAUUUAUUGAAGACUAACUACUGCGAAAGCAUUUGCCAAGGAUGUUUUCAUUAAUCAAGAACGAAAGUUAGGGGAUCGAAGACGAUCAGAUACCGUCGUAGUCUUAACCAUAAACUAUGCCGACUAGGGAUCGGAUGAUGUUAAUUUUUUAAUGACUCAUUCGGCGCCUUACGGGAAAC